rnacentral:lncRNA from 1 species
UGGUAAAUGAACAUAUCAAAAGAUGAUCAGCAUCAUCUAUCAUUAGGAAAAUGAAAAUUAAAAUCACAAUGAGAUACUGUUAUGUACCUAUUAGGACAUCAACUCUCACCCAUUGCUAGGGGAUACAAAAAUGGUGCAGAUGCUUUGGGACACAGUUUGACAGUUUCUUGGAGUACUAAAAUAGAUUUAACACACAGCACCACCACAUCAGAGAAAUGAAAACCUACCUUAACAGAAAAACCUCUUGGUGAAUAUUUAUAAAAGUUCUAUUCACAAUUGCUCCAAAUUGGAAAUAAUUCAAGUGUCCUUCAGCUGCAUGAACAAGUGGGGAUAUGUCUAUAUAAUGGAAUUUACUAUGUAGCAGUAAAAAGUAAGACACAAAUAAUAUGGAUCUCAAAUACAUGAUGUCAAGGGAAAAAAAAACACAAAUCAAAAAGACUUUUGUGACCUUCUAGAAAAGGCAAAACUAAGUAAUAGAAAACCAACUGAGGGACUGCUAAUGGUUGGGAGAAGAAAGAACAAUUGACCACAAAGUGAUAUGAGAUAAUGCUCUGGGUUGUGGGAUUCUCCUAUGCUUUGGUUGUGGUUUUUGCUAUCAAAAUUCAUAAAACUAUAUACAAAAGAUGGUGAAUUUUACUGUAUAAAUUGUCCUUUAAUACAUGGAAUUUUAAAAGACCUGGAUGGAAUGUCAUUUUCAACAUCUGCUUCCCUGACAGUCUAUUCUGCAAACACCAAAAAAAAAAAAAAAAAAAAAAAAAAAGAUCUCUAUGAAAGUACAAUUCCUUAAAGUGAUGUACACAAUAAUAUUGUAUGAGCUGAAAUUUAUGACAUAGAAUACCUUAUAUUUGCUUCUGUCAAAUAAAACAUGUUAGUAUUUCACUAGAUAUAUGUAAAAUUGUUUUGCCACUUUUCCCCAUUUUCUUUACG